UAUCUCUGUAGAGUCUGCAUAUCAAUAAGCGGAGGAAAAGAAACUAACAAGGAUUCCCCUAGUAACGGCGAGUGAAGCGGGAAGAGCUCAAAUUUGAAAUCUUCAAGGGUUUCCCUUGACGAAUUGUAGUUUAAAGAAGUGUUUUCUGUUAGAGAGGUGGUAAAAGUUCUUUGGAAUAGGACAUCAUAGAGGGUGAGAAUCCCGUAUUUGAUCACUUUCUAACGUUGUGAUACUCUUUCAACGAGUCGGAUUGUUUGGGAAUGCAGUCCAAAAUAGGUGGUAAAUUUCAUCUAAAGCUAAAUAUUGGCGAGAGACCGAUAGCGAACAAGUACCGUGAGGGAAAGAUGAGAAGAACUUCUGGAAAAGAGAGUUAAACAGUACGUGAAAUUGUCAAAAGGGAAGCGUUUGACACCAGUGUUGUUUUUCCGAAAAUCAAUUACGAAUGGCUUGAUUUUGUGUUGUAUUGACCUUAUCAGCUUUCUUCACUUUUUUCGAGUCUUUCUUAAUGCACUUUUCGGUUAACAAGUCAACAUCAAUUUCUUUUGUUGUAAAAGAGUAUUCGGAAGGUGGCUUUCUUUUCGGAGAAAGUGUUUAUAGCCCUAUACUUCUACAAUCGGAGAGAUUGAGGUCUGCAGCGUAGAUCCUUCGGGGUUAGAUACACUUGUGCUAAGUUGUAGCUUUUCAUAGACAACUUGUUGACUAUGUUUAGUCAUGCGGCUUACUCGCUUGUGCUAUUUUACCUACGCUUAGGAUGUUGAUGUGAUACUGCGAGCA
rnacentral:rRNA from 1 species